CUAAGCCAGAGAAGCGACCGCUGGCCCUGUCGGUGGUGAGCCAGAUGAAGGAUCCGACCUUUGCCACCUUCAUGUAUGAACUGCGCUGUGGGAAGCAGACAGCCUUCUUCUCGUCCCAGGGCCAGGAGUACACCGUGGUGUUUUGGGAUGGAAAAGAGGAGUCCAGGAACUACACGGUGGUGAACACAGAGAAGGGCCUCAUGGAGGUGCAGAGGAUGUGCUGCCCUGGGAUGAAGGUGAGCUGCCAGCUCCAGGUCCAGAGAUCCCUGUGGACAGCCACGACCAGAAAAUCUACAUCUACACCCUCAAGGGCAUGUGUCCCUUAAAUACACCCCAACGGGCCUUGGAUACUCCAGCUGUCGUCACUUGCUUCUUGGCCGUGCCUGUUAUUAAAAAGGGAUGGUAGAUAUGGCUCUGCAGAGUCAGAGCUGCACUUCCUUAGGAGCAGCCCCGGUCUUUCUAAGAGAUUUGCUGCCCUGAGGCGCAUUGGGGGAAAGUGACUGCCCGCCUGGUGUGGGUGCAGAUGAGUCCAGUGCCUACUCUGUCUCUCUCUUGGAAUGUGUGAAAUGGAAGGACGUGACACAUCCCUGUCUCCUUCCUUCAGAAUUCCUACCUGGUCUUAGCAGGCCUCGCCGAUGGGCUUGUGGCUGUGUUUCCCGUGGUGCGGGGCGCCCCAAAGGACAGCUGCUCCUACCUGUGCUCACACACAGCCAACAGGUCCAAGUUCAGCAUC
rnacentral:sRNA from 1 species